GUGGUUUUAUAGGGCUGUCCUAAGCCUGCAGUUCCUUUUCCUCCUUUGCACACAGCACGUGGGAGCAGCAGAAAGGGGAUAACUCAGCUCUAUCCUGCGGUUCUCCUGGGACAGCCCUGAGCUCCUGGCAGAGGAGCUUGAAGAAGUCUCUGGAAUAUUCAGGAAGAUCUCUUUGAAGAACACCUCAAUCUGCAUUUUUAAAUGGGUCUGAAAAUUUGAAAUCAGCAUGAGAAAGAAGGCAAGAGAGAGCUCAAACGCAUCAGGAACAGAAGAGGCCCCAUUUUUAGACAGUGCUACACAAAGAUAUUGCUUGAUUGCAUUGCUGAACAUUUCAUGUGGUGUGAGAGCAACAUCGAUGUCAAAAUCCAGAUGUUCCCAACAGCUGGGAGCUCACUUCAGGCUGCGGUGGGGGACCCUCCCUGCGUGGGUCCCAGCUGAGAUCAGUGAAGCGGUUUGGGGUCAAUGCCCACGAUGGGCUGCAUGAAAUGACUGGUAAAAAAGCUCAUUUCUGCUCUUGGACCCCUCUGCUUGGUCACUAAACCUUGAUCUUCGUUUCCCUUGUCAGAGAGAUUCAUGCUUUACAGAGAUGUGGGAAAGACAAAUAUAUUUGCAUUUAUUACUGCAAGGCCUGUGGGCAUUUCUCUGAUCAGGUGGAUUGCUGGAAAAGGGUGAGUGGUAAGAGUUGCUAAGGACAGAUGGGAAUAUAUAGCAUCUUUACAGAAAUCCCCCGUUCGAGCAAACACAGACUGGGAUGCACAAAACUGUCCUGCAUAGUCUUGGGCUUAAUUCUUUCUGUACCCAAGUGACUAACAUGCCCUUUGAGCCGUGAGCAGCGCGAUGGUGAUGAAGAUGCUGCAGGACCUGACCCGGAGGUGCCUCCCAGUGUCACACUGCAGAGAGAGUGAGAAAACAAAGAAACCAGAACGAGCGACAAAGUGAGUAAUUUGCCCAGGAGGACGCUGCUUGAGUAAGCAGAGUCAGUCAUUUCAGGAUUCAGAGCGCGGAAAAGCCCUUUCUCGUGCGGUUAUCUUGAAGGUCACCAUGGUGCGAUGUGCUGGGAAGCAGUCCCAAGGCUCAGUGAUGAACCUAACCUCAGAGCAACAAUUAUGCAUUGUUUGUUGAAUUUCCCUUCUAUCUAAUAUUUUAUUUCCUGGUGAAGCUUCGAUCCCUGUGCCUGUUGUCUGUGAAAUUGCAACCGAGAGAGCCGAAGAAGGGCCAAGGGACUUUUACCGGGACCGCAAAGAGCCGAAGGCACAGAAGGCUCUACCUGGGACUCUGUAAGCCAUGCCAUACAUUUUUGAUAACAGGUACUAGUAUCCAAGACUGCUGUCCCAGUACCAAGACCGACAUUUCCUCCCAGUGACCAACCACUCCUUGUGCGAUGUUCUUGCUGUUCCCACAAGAAUAACGUGGUGUGAAUAUGUGGCUGAUGCCUCAACAGUCUGUGAAAUCACCAGCUGAGCUGUGCAAGGAGCAUGGACCUGCUUGGGAGGACACUUCUUCCCCAGGAGAGCUGGUAUGCAACCAAGGAACUAUGCAGUGAUUCAUCUGAUGCGAGGAUUCCUGGUGCUGCUGAUCUCACGUCUGAAUUCCUCCCAGAAGCUGUUCACAAAGGCGACCCCAAGGAAAGUUCCGUAAAGCUUUUCAUUGACAUCUGUUGGUAUUUGUAAUUCAUUUAGAGAACAAUAACUGACUGGAGCUUGGCUUCAUUUUUAGUGCAGGACUGAAACAGGAACAGCUGUCUUUAUGAUAAAAGAACUGAUACAAGACACAUGCUGUGUUAUUUAGUGCUUAUUUUCAUUUAAUUACGGAAAAGUUCCCUAAGGAGUACGAGAAAUGUGAUUUUUUGUCUUUAUGCCAAAGCAGAACUGAGCUCAAGCCCAUGAGCAGUACAGGGAGGAACAGCCACAGGGCAAUGCCCCAAGGAACUGAGUCAAUGAGCUGGAGGGGGUGGGUGUGAGACUCCUUUUGAAUGAAUUUCACUUACUGCAUGCACAAUUUUCCUGGUUUCUGUUAAAGAAAACCUACUACAUAUAAAUUUUCACAGAAGAAAAUGAGAUUUCUUUGAAGUUCUCUGGCAUGAUGGAAUUAAUAGCUGCAAGAUUUAAAAGUAACAAAAGUCAGACAAGGAAAACAAUUCUAAAUCAGCACUUAAUCCAUUGGAUUUUCAAAAUCCAAUAACUUUUAAGAGAUUAUAGAAUUGUUUCAGUUUUUCCAUCUGCCAUUGAAAAUCUUUACCCCUUUAAAAGCAUAGUGCAGAUUUUUAGUAAGCCGGGAAAAAUUAAAGCUCUAACAUAUAAUACUAUACAGUUUAACUGCUAAUUUGUUUAGUCCACCAUUAUAUCAUUGUAAGGUAUUUAAAUUUAUGCAAGUGUAAUGAAUAGCUUUAGGAAAAUAAAAUGUGCCUUUGGCACUGAAUUUAAGGUGAAAUGUGUGCCACAGAGUAUCUGGUGUUAAACUCAAAGGUAUAUAUAGGGUAGAAAUCCUCUGCCCCCCUAGACAUCCUUUAUUGGUUAUUGGAUCUAAUUUCAACUGUACAGCUGCUUUUACUUGACCCUGGUGGAAAUGUUCCAUGUGUUUAGUUUCAGUGCAAUUGAUCUGGAGACCUAAAAGGGCACUGAAGUUGCUGCAAGGUGCUGUUUGGAAUAUCUAUCUUGUAUAAAGCUGGGGCAUAAGUCACUGAGCAAAAGUAUAUCCAUCUGUCCAUCCUUUUAUGAACAGGAUACGCACAACUGUGUGAUAUUUGGGUUCAGACUUGGUUUAGAUAUCAGUCCCUGGUCUGAUUCUGCUCAGGUGAGUGUUUUUAGCAAUCAGGCAGCUCAAUGCACCACUGAAACCCUGUUUCACCCUCUUAUUCCUUCCUUUUGUUUGACUCUGGUUUCCUUCCUUUUGGACAAAGCCAAGUCUUGCUGGGAUGUGAGCAAAACCACCAUUUUGCAUCUGGAAAAAGAAUGCUGUGAAUAAGUCACUGGCAAUUCGUGAAGGAGCUCACCAGGCCCUGUAAAUGUGGCUAAAGGUUGCUGAAUGAUGAACAACGGGAAACAUGAAUGCUGACACACAACUGUCAUGUUCCAAAGCUUCAGCCAAGAACUUCAACCUGCCCUGGACUAGACUGAUCUUGUGUCUCCUGUGGUCCAGCAGCCUUGAAGACGAGGUCAGCAAGUACAAACAUCUGCACUGACUCCUCAUUUGCCGCAUCGGUGCCUUAACUUUGGUGAAAAGAUUUGUCCACACAGUUGGGAGGUGAGAAAAGUGAAGUCUAUGAAAUGCAGAGCACUGAUGGACCAUCCCAGAUCAUGGACUUCAAACCUCCACACAGAACUGGUUCAUAGAGGAGGGGAUGAUCCUUGCCCUGGCUAUAGCCUUCUUUCUGCAGAGACUCAGCUGCUCUCUGCUUUUGCUAAGAAGGCUCCAUUUCCACCUGGGCAAACAGAGAGCUCGGCCGUCCAGUAGAACAGCUGCCCCAAAUCUCGGAUGAUGGGAAAGAAUAAGGAAAAGCAAAAUCAAGGUGUGCUCUUCAAUAUGAACCCUGCAGGGUAACCAGACCCAAAGGGCUGUGACCCUAGGAGCAGUCCCCAGCAGCUGAUAAUGAAACCCUGUGAGACAAGGAGCAAAAGGAGCUGUGUCCCGGUGCUUUGGCUUGGAACAAAAAGCAUUAAAGAUGAGGAUGGGGACAUUCAGUGGAAAUUUUUACGGCGACGUCGUAGGAAGGAGCCAGGUGGCCCCUGUCUGUGUGCUGAGCUCGUCCCGAUCCCUGUGCCCCGAGGAGGAGUGAGAAGAGGACGAGGGUAGGAUGACAAUGGCCAUUGAGGGAGGAAGGUGAUGGUGCUUUUGGCUCUGGCAGUUAUUCGCCAUAUAUAUUCAACUGGGCAUUUAGUGCCUCUGUGCUUGGGUUUUGACGCAGAUAAAGUAGAACUCAUCAGGAGCAAGGAGGCAUGUUGUGGGUCUGCUGUCUCUUGACGUGUUUGAGAGAUUCCAAUAGAAUGUGUUUUGUACCAGAUUUCUCUAUGAGAAGCAACAUUUAAUGUAAAAUGAAGAAAGAUUAGGAAGAAAUUGAAGUACAGAAUAAAAUAGCAGUAUGUAGCUCUUAUUUUGCACUCUUCCCUAUGCCCACAUGUCCCCGGAGAACACAAGUAUCUGACUAUGCUUUUUUGCAAUUAUACAAGCAAAACUACAAGGAAAGCCUUCUUCCGUAAGUCUUCACCUAAGAAGAAAGCAAGGAAGUUACAGAAUCAAUGAUACUAGCUGAUUAAUGAACCAAACCAUCUCUCUUCCCCCAACCACAGCACCGCACAAUGGGUUUUCACUUUCUCCCAAUGGCCUUGAAAACAUCCUCAUCCUGAGGAACAGAGUGUUUCGAGCUGAUGUUUCUGUACCUCGUUCUAUAGAAAGGGACUGCGGCUCUCAGAGGGGAAGGCAUUUCUGUAUGAUUUCUGGUGUAACACUUUCUUGAUAUAUGGGUAAAAAGCACUGAAACACUAUGUUUUCCCUUACACUAGAACAUACGAAGCAUCUCUUGGAAGGACAAUGACUUGAAAAAUAAUCUUGUGACUCUUACAAGGCCUGUGUAGCCUUCACCUCAGUAAAUCAGAAAUUUUUGCUGUACACCCAGCUAGAACCAACGUGAGCAGUGAAAUAAGAGCUGCCAGAUGUGAAAACUGGCCCACAAUGAUCAGAUUUGGACAAUAGCUCUGGCUUUCCUGCUUUUUGAGGUCCAGCUUGGUAAACUUCAUACUAAUUUGCUGAGUACCUUCGGCCCCACUAGAAAACAAAGGGAAGGUCCUGCAGCUGAAGAAAGAAGCCUUGAAAUAUCUCACAUUGACCACGUGGAAAUGAAGGCUCCCAAAGUCAGAGGUGGUUUCCAAAGAGUGGUCACACUGGCUGAAGUGAGAGGCCUUUCUGCCCUACUUGGACCUACCUACACAGGCUGUAAAUUCAAGUCAACAGCUUUAAACCCUAAGAAACAAAAAAGAGUCCACAAGGGAAAUUUAACGGUAUGGUGCCAAGAUUGCACCAACGGCUGGUUGUGUAUACACGGGGUUCAAAGGGAGGCCGGUUUGCAGUUAACCCCAUUAAAAUAAACCCACGGUAAUUCGUGGGGAGGAAUUUUCCUUUCUGGUGAAGUCCAUCUGGCAGCUCACCCACAAGUGGGCAAACAUAGCGAUGUCUUUGGGGUCACGGUGCCAACUCACAGGAUUGCUGAGGUGCAAAGUUUUUGUUAGAAACAGAUGGGGAGGGUGGAUUUUUUUCUUUUCAAGAGUGCUUGUUUUCUCUGCUUUAUUUUUUUCCAGGAAGAGAUAACCGAAUCUCAGAACUGAUGCACUCCAAACUCUUAAAUGCUGGCACUGCUUAUUAGCUGCUUGCUCAGUGGAGAAUAUUCUUCCUUAUAUAGGCCUUUCAGAAACUAGGUCAGAGGAUUAACUUGAGUACUGGUUGCUAAAAAUCCUCUUUGACAGCCUGCCUUCCUUUAUUAUUUUCUCACUUUGCCCAUCACAGACACCAACGCCUGCCAGCUUCUCUAUUCAUUUCUCCUGGGCUGGGCUGUGAUGGCCACAAAGGCGGCUCCGCUCCUGCCACCCUGCAAACACCCUCAGCCUAUUCAGCGUGUUUGACCCCCAAAAUCAGUCAUCUUCCCAGGAAGGAGAGGCUGUUUUUCAAAGAAAUGUGGCAGUGCUGCACCAGCCUGCGUGUUGGGUUGACUUGUCAGUGGAAAAACAUCUGAAUGGCACUGCCCCGGUGCCAAGGGACGGCGUUCUCAGGAGACGCUGCCUUUGUUUUCCAAAGGUCCUGUUCUGAGAAGGUUUGGCUGGGCUGGGUGUUGGAUGCUCACACAACAGUCUCCCCAAAAAGCUCUGUCUUCUCCAUUGGAGCUUCUCGGAAGUGCUGCACUGCAAAUAACAAUACUACUACUAAUAAUAAUUACCGAAGCCUUCUGUGAAAUGUUUGCACUGAAACUCCACGGAAUAUUCUUGCUUUUAGAUGCUGUUGUUAGCUCUGAAGGAUCACGCACAGUGCAUUUGUGCUGAUGGGACAUUUCUUGCCAUGCUGUUUACAGGAGAUAGAUAACAUCUUUCUGUGAGAUAUAUAUAUAUAUAUAUAUAUUAAAAAAACAUAUACCCACACAUAUUCAUAUAUGCCAAUCACCAAUAAAAACUUUUAAAACUAUCAUUAUACAUGCAUGUAUCAGAAAUAGAAGUGAUUUCCUAGCAGAAACAGCAAACGCUAUUAUCAUAUAUUCACUUUCUACACACUCAAUCUGAUUACUAACCCGUAUGCACAUACAUACCUAUCUCAGGACUAAACAGAUACAAAAUAAGACUCUCAUUGCAGGUUUCUACACCUCUAGAUGGCCAUUUAGCAGAGUGCUCUUGGUUCCAGAAGUGCAUCGAAUUUACAGUAAAAACACAGGAAGCUGAACGAUUUCCUCUGAGGAAAGUACCUGACAAAGGGGUGAAUGAGUGAAAUCAUCGGGCCCUUUGACUCCAUCGCUCCCCGUGUGUCCCCGAUGGUUUCAGGAUGACUUUGAAGUGGUUUUGCUGUCUUUGAGAAGCCAAGUUGGGGAAGUAAAACACCAGCGCUAAGGAAUGGGACAUGGGGCUCCUACAUUGUGAGACCCGUUUGAAAAGCUCAGCCCAAACUUUUGGAGUUUCUAGGGUUCUGAACAGAGACUUUUACCCUAAAAAGAAACAAACAUCCUCAAUGGCACCUAAAAGGGCACAAGUGAGUAACUCUUCAGAUACCAUCUCACUAACACCUUGAGUUCCCCACACUUGGACAGUGACUAAAACUGAAGUGGGUUUUUCAGUGUGCAAAUGUCUAAAUGUAGGAGUAGAAGGGAUGAAAGACAGACAGAUUGUACACUUGGGUCAAACAUCAGCUUCUUUAACUACAUGUAAUGCAGUAACCUCCUCUUUAUUUCCGACUCCUACUACCUCCAGAAAACUUUCCUUUAAAUUACAGAGGUGUUGAAAUGCUUGCAUGUCGUUAUAUUUUCCUGCUCCGUCCUCCACUCAGGAUGUCAUUUCCAGUGCAAAAUGAAAUAGGACUGAUUCAUUUUGCAGAAGGAACAUGACUGAUACAAGCCCGGAUGAAGACUUAUUCUCAACCCUGUGGAAAUUCCUCACCAAGUGAGACUCUCAGCCUUCCAAGAACAAAGAUCAUAUGUGCAGCUUUUGCUGAUAUUUGCUCGCAGUCUCUUGGUGACAAACCACACCUUGUUGAUCAAGACAAACAUAUGUUGUACCCACACAAAGCUGCUCUGGCUCUACAAGCUGAGAUUUCUUUACCUGCUGGGGAAAUACCCAAGAAAAAGGCAUAUGAACAAAGACUAGAAGCAAGAGGGUUUCUGAGCACUUUUUUCAAUGAAAAUGACACAUCUCUGGAAGGCACAAGUAUGAAGUGACAAGAUUUCGGAAGCUGGAGGGUCUCAGCUUCAUCUCCGCAAACUGGAUGGAAUAUUCGUGGCCCUUCCAGUGGAACCAGUUAACACCCUGCAAAGACAAAGAAGCCUUCAAACACCAAGCUCACCUGACUAUGGCUGUUGUCACCGUAUCUGCCCAUCAGAUUGACUCGGUGACAAUUCUUGUACCAGAAUGCACCCUUGUAUGACAAAGCACAGUUGGUGAUGGCAGAAUCGUUGUCCUUGUCAUAGGUGGAGAAGGACCUUCCAUUAUGGUACAUCAUGGAAUCACCUGGAUGAGCAAGACAAAACAAAGGGCAAAGUGAGUGGUUUGCCCAGUUUAGAUUACAUGAGAGUGAUGAUUUUGCAGAAAGUAUUUGUACUGUGCCAUGCGCCGCCUGUAAAGCUUGUCCAUGUGAUGCUCACAGAGCAGGAUUUGUACACGCACAUCUCUGUGGCCUGUUUUAUGCACCUUGCAGCCUGAAAACUACCUCCUUUUAAGAUGUCCCAGGGAGCUGGAUUUAUCUCUUAAUCCUCUGAAACUCUGAAGAGGACUCAAUAAAAGCUGUAGGGUUUGCCCUGGUAUGAUUACAAAAGGCAGAUGAUUUGUUCAGUAAAAUUACAAAUCAUGUUACAGCGGGACUCUGCUGCAUAUUCCACUGACAAGAGAUGAGGCUGUGCCAAGCUAUAAUUAGCUGUAUAAAUGGCAGUCAGGCAUUGGCCAAAUGAGAUAUGUGGCUGUUUAAUGUACUUGUUUAUAUUCUGUCAUAAGCAUGCCAUAAAAUGUGGCACCUAAACGACUGGAAGAUUGAAAAUGGAAACAUAAAAUAUAUUGGUAUGUUCAUAUUUUCCAACACCUGACAUACAAGAUGUACCUGCUGCGACGGUGAUUUGCAACAUUCUCACACUGUUACCGUGAGCCAAGUGGGAGGAAAUUUCAAACCAGAAGGAAAAAAUAAUGUCACCUGCUGUGCCACUGUACCCGUCCACUCUCAGCCGGUAUCUGCUCUUCGCGUCUCCAACGCUGAACCUGUCGUAGACGGCAUAAGCUGUCUCGCCUCUGUCCUGCAGAUCCACACGCAGCUCGUACUGGCCCUGAGAGGUGAUUUUGUGCAGGUUCUCCAGACCUGUGGAUGCAAAUGAACAAUCCAUUCGUCUCCCUGUGUUUAUUUCUCUACCAUCAUGUAGCCCAUAAAGGAGAUGAUAAUGGCCUGUGCAGAUACACCAAGGCAUAAACACUGGUGAGGAAAGUGAGCUGUUUCAGCUGUAAUGUUAGCAGAAAAUCAAAUAGAUAAAACCAGGCUGAUUGAAAGACCUCUGCCCUUCAAAUCACAGCAGCAGGGAGCACUUUGGGAAAAGUAAUCACAGUUGUGCUGUGAGAUCAUCAUUGUCUUUCAUUUACAAAUGAAUAAAAUGUAGUGCAAUCUUUGAAAA